GCAUGUCAUGUGAUCUCCCUGUGAAUGAGCCAAGACAAGGACUCCCAGCCUUCUGACUGCUAAAUCAUUGCUCUCUUCAUUACAUCAUAUUGUCACAGCUGUUUUGCAAGAUGACUAAUUUAUGAGAAUAGUUCAAACAACGUAUCUGGAAGUAGAUUUUUAAAAAGUACAACUUCAUUUUAUUCUCCAAAUAAAAGACUGCUGAAGCUUCUGAGAAAAAGAAAAAAGCGAAGGAUCAUCUUUGAUCAUGCAGUGAGCUGAUUCCAAAAUGUGGACAAAAAGCAGACUCAAAGGCAAUGAUUCCGAGAAACAGUGAAUGUCACAAGGAGACACCUGGGCUCUUUAUAAAGAGGUCUCUCUCAGCCUCCCUGCGCUUAGGGACAGUGGACAGCACUGCAGCACUGCAGCACUGCACUUGGGGCCAUUUUAAACAGCGAAGUCACCAAAACCACGCAAAAAAAUGCUAAAAGCACAGUACUAAACAGACCAUGGAAAAGACAUAUGUACAGUAUGAGAAGGUAAAGUGUCUGUCUGACCUCAGUGGGGAGCAUAAGCACUGGAUGACUCAACGUUUUCACUUCUCUGUGCAUGUCCAAAAAUGACAAAAAUGACUCAGUGGAAGUACUCUGCCUGUUGAUUUGGGGGUUAAAAUACAU
rnacentral:lncRNA from 1 species